rnacentral:rRNA from 1 species
UGGGAAUCUACCCAGAGGUUCGGAAUAACCGCGGGAAACUGCGGCUAAUACCGGAUGUCCCCUAAGGGGGAAAGAUUUAUCGCCUUUGGACGAGCCCGCGUCCGAUUAGCUAGUUGGUGAGGUAACGGCUCACCAAGGCUACUAUCGGUUGCUGGUCUGAGAGGACGACCAGCCACACUGGAACUGAGACACGGUCCAGACUCCUACGGGAGGCAG